rnacentral:tRNA from 1 species
GGGGCUGUGGCUCAGAGACAGAGAGUGCUCGCCUGGCAUGCGUGAGGCACUGGGUUCGAUCCUCAGCACCA